UUGAACGCUGGCGGCAGGCCUAACACAUGCAAGUCGAGCGGAUGAAGGGAGCUUGCUCCUGGAUUCAGCGGCGGACGGGUGAGUAAUGCCUAGGAAUCUGCCUGGUAGUGGGGGAUAACGUCCGGAAACGGGCGCUAAUACCGCAUACGUCCUGAGGGAGAAAGUGGGGGAUCUUCGGACCUCACGCUAUCAGAUGAGCCUAGGUCGGAUUAGCUAGUUGGUGGGGUAAAGGCCUACCAAGGCGAGGAUCCGUAACUGGUCUGAGAGGAUGAUCAGUCACACUGGAACUGAGACACGGUCCAGACUCCUACGGGAGGCAGCAGUGGGGAAUAUUGGACAAUGGGCGAAAGCCUGAUCCAGCCAUGCCGCGUGUGUGAAGAAGGUCUUCGGAUUGUAAAGCACUUUAAGUUGGGAGGAAGGGCAGUAAGUUAAUACCUUGCUGUUUUGACGUUACCAACAGAAUAAGCACCGGCUAACUUCGUG
rnacentral:rRNA from 1 species